CACCAAUGCAAAGCUAAGCUCUUCCGGAAACGCCCUCCCAGACAGCCCGGAAGUCACGUGCCCGGGGCUGUGUUCAGCCCACCAAUGCAAAGCUAAGCUCUUCCGGAAACGCCCUCCCAGACAGCCCGGAAAUCACGUGCCCACGCUUUGCGUACCCCGCGGCACAGCCACGCGGUCGAGCGGGUUACCGCUCAGAGCUACUGCUGCCUCCCCUGCUUUCUCUCGGAAACCUGACGUGUGGCCUCAGCUGAAAGUGAGAUUUAAAUGGAGAAAAGAAAGGUUUAAAGAGAAGAACUUGCUUCCUCUUUCUACCCAGAGAACAAUAUAUCUGGUCACAGUGGAAAGCCUGAACUCACACCCCACCAGGGGCAAGCCUCUGAUGAGACGUUACCUUUAUGAAUGCUCUCAGGACAUUGUCCCUUGGGUCUACAGUCAGAAGAGUCGAAGAAGUGGGGAGACAGCUCUCCAGGUAACCAGAGUUUAAAUCCUGGCUCUGCAGCAUUUCUGGACUUGGGCUCUGGGUAUGUUUUUUUUUUCCAAGACGAAGUCUCACUUUGUUGCCCAGGCUAGAGUGCAGUGGCAUGAUCUUGGCUCACUGCAGCCUCCACCUCCUGGAUGCAAGUGAUUCUCCUGCCUCAGCCUCCUGCGUAGCCAGGAUUACAGGUGCACACUAACAUGCCCGGCUAGUGUUUGUAUUUUUAGUAGAGAUGGCGUCUUGCCAUGUUGGUCAGGGUGGUCUCGAACUCCUGACCUCAAGUGAUCCACCCACGUCGGCCUCCCAGAGUGCUGGGAUUAUAGACUCUGGGUAUGUUUUAAACUUCUCUGGGACCCGGAGUACUUCACCUUGGAACUGUUCAUUGCCUACCUUGAUCCAGCCCUCACUGUGGGAUUGGUACUCUUUUAAGCGUUUUAUUUGAAUUAUUUGUGCAAUGUCUGCAGCUUCCCUGUGAGGUGGGCACUGGCAGGGAAGUACAAUGCUGUUUUACAGUGCAGGAGCAGAGCCCAGGGUCUGACAUCCUGAGUCAUCACGGUCACCAUCAUCAUCUUUGUCCACGGUUGCACAGUGGGAUUCCGCUCCCAGAAUCACGCUCCAGAGCCUGCCCUGUAGAAUUAAAACGCCUGGGUGCCUUUGCCCGCAACAGCACGUGCAUGAUGCUGACACCCGUGGACGCUGUAUAAAUGUUUCUUCCUACAAUGCAGUGUUGUUAAGAUGAAAUCGGCUCCUUUAUCCAAAGUUGCUGAGUAAAGUGCCCAACACAAAGGCCACACAAAAGAGCGGGUUCCGUGUGUCUACGCAGACCCCUCUAGCUGUCAUUCUGAGUGAAUGGCAGGCUUCCCGAAAUCCCCUUGGCUUACUUCCCGGCACUCAGGGCUGCCUCUGUGGAGUGGGAGAGCACAGAAUUGACAAGGCCUGUCCAUCACCCACCCCCAGGGGCCUCUCAGGGACUGCUCAUCUCCCCGUCCUUCCAAGAGAGCCAAGCACA
rnacentral:lncRNA from 13 species